rnacentral:piRNA from 1 species
GUAAGCCAUGACCAUGUAGCCUGUCUAAU